ACCAGGAUGGCUGAGUGGUUAAGGUGUUGGACUUAAGAUCCAGUGGACAAAUGUCCUUUUGGGUUCAAACCCCAUUCCUGGUA